GACCGCGGAGCCGGCCUCUCCAGCCACCUGGUGGCCGGGCCGCGUCAGCCAGGUGCGCGCCCGGCCCCACAUCCUCUGGGUCAGGCCCCCGAGCCCGCAAAGCGUCCGAGAAGCAGCCCCGGCUCUGACCCGCCAGCCCUCAGAAGAAGCAGACCCUGGCCGGUGCAUGGCAGUGGCCCGAGGGGCGCCAGCGCGGAGCACCAGCGACCUCCCAGGAACGACGUUGCAGAUGAUGCUCUAUCAGGAGUUGGAAGGACUUCCCAGGGAAUCCCACAAGACACUGCGCUUCCUAUGCCUCCUUUCCCUUGUUUAAAUAAUGGGGAUAAGAAGAUUGGCUACUGCUCCGACAGCCCUCGUAAUGGAAGAGUAGCACUUCAUUUGUGGGUUAACAAAGGGUAACGCUGAAAUCUCCACUUCCACUAUUGAAUGGAACUGUGUCAUAAUAUCUGUUAGAGGCGUGCAAGCUCGGCCACAAGGUCAUGGUCAUACGUUAUUGUUGGUCAAAAGCCGCAGCCCUACCUGAGGCUUUGAGAGAUAUGAACACCAAUGACUUUUCUUUUCCUGACUCCCGAAAUACCAAGAAAAAGCAACUUCCCCAAAUGGACAGAAACAGAAAGUACCCUUGGUUGAACACAGAGGCCUGGUUCCAGCCACCGUUAGAAGUGGGAAGGAACUCAGACCCGCUCUCCUGCCUCAUCCCCAAUCCCUACCCCACACGUCACCCUUUCACAGAGAAGGAACCAGAGCCACCAAGGGCUGAGAGAGGACUUGAUAAGGAUUCUAGUCUUCUGUCUCCCCUGUCCCCACCUUUUCCACCACAAAAAUAUGGAUAUUUGGAGGAAGAGGAGAAGAGGGAAGGUACACACCAUGCAAAGGAAGAAAAUGGCAGAACUGCUCUGGAAUCAGGAAUUCAGGAGCAAGAAUGACACAGUGUGUGCCAGAUGGAAAUGCUGGAUUAGGAGAGCACUUGGAAAGGCAAAUAAUCUGCCAGAGAAAUUAUGGGAUGCCCGCCUUCUGAAAAUGGAGGAAAACUGCAAAGGAGUGGCUCAUUGGUGCUCAUUCCUAGGGCUCUGAGCAUCCCAAGAAGCCAACUUGGUCCCAUCGUACAUCCCCUCAGAAGUAGGCAUUCUCCUCUCCACCUGCAGCUGUGACCCAAAUAUGGAGCCUGCAUGUUAUGCCACCCCAUCAACACUGAGUUCUGUCUGUGUCUCCCUCUCCCAGAUCUGAUCAGCACCUGACAUCUAUCCAUCCUCCACUUCCCACCUCCCCAAAGCUGCUGGAAAAACUCUGAAAGGUACCUCUGUCACUCAUUAAGCAUCUGAUUAUGUACCUCUUUCUACAACUCCUUUGUUGCUUUGUUUUAAAAUCGAUGGCUCUUUGAAAUCACUCUUCUUCCUUUCACUGCCUAAUGUUUUCAAAGAGGAGUCUACCCCUGUCUCCGCUUCCUCAUCUUACAUUAAUUCCUCAAUUCUCUGAACAGAGACCACCAGGGAAACCCCAAAUGUCAGCUCCAGUGGUUUCAUUUUCUUACCUCACUAUAGCAUUUAGCACCACUCCUUCUUGAAAAUCCCCUCCUUGGCUUCUCCUCCACGUCUCACCAUGAUUUCUGUUUUCUUCUUCUGGCUUCAUUUCUGCAUCAUCCCUUAAACAAUACAAUGCUUGAGGUUUCAGAUGAGGCUGCUUCUCCCUGGGCAAUCUCAUCCAUUCCUAUCAUACUGAUCCCUCCCAAACUAUCGCCCAGACUUCUCUCUUGAGCUCCAGAUCUGUAAUUCCAAGUGUUUUCUGUACAUCCAUAUCUAGAUAAUCAAUCCAAAAGCCUUUUAAUUACUCCAUGCCCUAAAAUAAAUUCCUCAUCUUCUCACAAACUCUUUCUCCUGCCUUCCCUAUCUCAGUUGACAUCAUUACUAUCCACCAGUGGAUAGUAAGGUUUCUAGUAACUUAUAGCCAGAAUAUAUAAAGAACUCCCACAACUCAAAAGUAGUAAAGACAAAUAAUCCAAUUUGAAAAUGGGCAAAAGACUUGAACAGACACUUCAACAAAACAAGAUAUGCGCAUGGCCAAUAAUCACAUGAAAAGGUGCUAACAUUAUGAGUCUUUGGGGAAAUGCAAACUUAAGCCGUGAGUUACCACUUUACAGUCAUUAGAAUAGCUAAAAUUCAUACUGAAAACAGCAAAUGUUGGCAAGGAUGUGGAGGAACCGAAACACUCAUAUAUUGCUUGUAGGAGCGUAACAUGGCACAACAAGUUUGGGAAACUCAUUGGCAGUAUCUGAUAAAGUUAAAUAUACAUCUACCUGUGACCUAGAAAUUCCACUCCUAGGUAUAUAUCCAAGAUAAAUGAAUGUGUAUCUCCCCACAGAAACAUAUAUAUGAAUGAUUGUAGCAACUUUAUUCAUAAUAGCCCCAAACUGGAAACACCCCAAAUACCAUUAAUAGUAGAAUGAUUUUUUGUUAAAUUGUGGGAUAUUCAUACACUGGAGUGCUACUCAGCAGUAAAAAGGAAUAAAUGAGUGAUGCAUGUGUCAACAUA